rnacentral:rRNA from 1 species
GGGUUGUGAGGUUAAGCGACUAAGCGUACACGGUGGAUGCCCUGGCAGUCAGAGGCGAUGAAGGGCGUGCUAAUCUGCGAUAAGCGCCGGUAAGGUGAUAUGAACCGUUAUAACCGGCGAUACCCGAAUGGGGAAACCCAGUGUGAUUCGUCACACUAUCAUUAACUGAAUCCAUAGGUUAAUGAGGCGAACCGGGGGAACUGAAACAUCUAAGUACCCCGAGGAAAAGAAAUCAACCGAGAUUCCCCCAGUAGCGGCGAGCGAACGGGAGGAGCCCAGAGCCUGAAUCAGCAUGUGUGUUAGUGGAAGCGUCUGGAAAGGUGCGCCGAUACAGGGUGACAGCCCCGUACACAAAAGCGCAUGUGCUGUGAGCUCGAUGAGUAGGGCGGGACACGUGGUAUCCUGUCUGAAUAUGGGGGGACCAUCCUCCAAGGCUAAAUACUCCUGACUGACCGAUAGUGAACCAGUACCGUGAGGGAAAGGCGAAAAGAACCCCGGCGAGGGGAGUGAAAAAGAACCUGAAACCGUGUACGUACAAGCAGUGGGAGCACCCUUCGGGGUGUGACUGCGUACCUUUUGUAUAAUGGGUCAGCGACUUAUAUUCUGUAGCAAGGUUAACCGUAUAGGGGAGCCGGAGGGAAACCGAGUCUUAACCGGGCGUUAAGUUGCAGGGUAUAGACCCGAAACCCGGUGAUCUAGCCAUGGGCAGGUUGAAGGUUGGGUAACACUAACUGGAGGACCGAACCGACUAAUGUUGAAAAAUUAGCGGAUGACCUGUGGCUGGGGGUGAAAGGCCAAUCAAACCGGGAGAUAGCUGGUUCUCCCCGAAAGCUAUUUAGGUAGCGCCUCGUGAAUUCAUCUCCGGGGGUAGAGCACUGUUUCGGCUAGGGGGCCAUCCCGGCUUACCAACCCGAUGCAAACUGCGAAUACCGGAGAAUGUUAUCACGGGAGACACACGGCGGGUGCUAACGUCCGUCGUGAAGAGGGAAACAACCCAGACCGCCAGCUAAGGUCCCAAAGUCAUGGUUAAGUGGGAAACGAUGUGGGAAGGCCCAGACAGCCAGGAUGUUGGCUUAGAAGCAGCCAUCAUUUAAAGAAAGCGUAAUAGCUCACUGGUCGAGUCGGCCUGCGCGGAAGAUGUAACGGGGCUAAACCAUGCACCGAAGCUGCGGCAGCGAACGUAUCACCCAAGACAACUUUACGGAGUUGACGAUUGACGGAGCGAAGCGACGUCAAAGCGUUCAUUAAAGUCGAGUUGGCUUAGGGAUACGUUCGUUGGGUAGGGGAGCGUUCUGUAAGCCUGUGAAGGUGUGUCGUGAGGCAUGCUGGAGGUAUCAGAAGUGCGAAUGCUGACAUAAGUAACGAUAAAGCGGGUGAAAAGCCCGCUCGCCGGAAGACCAAGGGUUCCUGUCCAACGUUAAUCGGGGCAGGGUGAGUCGACCCCUAAGGCGAGGCCGAAAGGCGUAGUCGAUGGGAAACGGGUUAAUAUUCCCGUACUUGGUGUUACUGCGAAGGGGGGACGGAGAAGGCUAUGUUGGCCGGGCGACGGUUGUCCCGGUUUAAGCGUGUAGGUGUGUGUUCCAGGUAAAUCCGGUUCACUUUAACACUGAGGCGUGACGACGAGGCACUACGGUGCUGAAGCAACAAAUGCCCUGCUUCCAGGAAAAGCCUCUAAGCAUCAGGUAACACGAAAUCGUACCCCAAACCGACACAGGUGGUCAGGUAGAGAAUACCAAGGCGCUUGAGAGAACUCGGGUGAAGGAACUAGGCAAAAUGGUGCCGUAACUUCGGGAGAAGGCACGCUGACACGUAGGUGAAGUGAUUUACUCAUGGAGCUGAAGUCAGUCGAAGAUACCAGCUGGCUGCAACUGUUUAUUAAAAACACAGCACUGUGCAAACACGAAAGUGGACGUAUACGGUGUGACGCCUGCCCGGUGCCGGAAGGUUAAUUGAUGGGGUCAGCGUAAGCGAAGCUCCUGAUCGAAGCCCCGGUAAACGGCGGCCGUAACUAUAACGGUCCUAAGGUAGCGAAAUUCCUUGUCGGGUAAGUUCCGACCUGCACGAAUGGCGUAAUGAUGGCCAGGCUGUCUCCACCCGAGACUCAGUGAAAUUGAACUCGCUGUGAAGAUGCAGUGUACCCGCGGCAAGACGGAAAGACCCCGUGAACCUUUACUAUAGCUUGACACUGAACAUUGAGCCUUGAUGUGUAGGAUAGGUGGGAGGCUUUGAAGUGUGGACGCCAGUCUGCAUGGAGCCGACCUUGAAAUACCACCCUUUAAUGUUUGAUGUUCUAACGUGGACCCGUAAUCCGGGUUGCGGACAGUGUCUGGUGGGUAGUUUGACUGGGGCGGUCUCCUCCUAAAGAGUAACGGAGGAGCACGAAGGUUGGCUAAUCCUGGUCGGACAUCAGGAGGUUAGUGCAAUGGCAUAAGCCAGCUUGACUGCGAGCGUGACGGCGCGAGCAGGUGCGAAAGCAGGUCAUAGUGAUCCGGUGGUUCUGAAUGGAAGGGCCAUCGCUCAACGGAUAAAAGGUACUCCGGGGAUAACAGGCUGAUACCGCCCAAGAGUUCAUAUCGACGGCGGUGUUUGGCACCUCGAUGUCGGCUCAUCACAUCCUGGGGCUGAAGUAGGUCCCAAGGGUAUGGCUGUUCGCCAUUUAAAGUGGUACGCGAGCUGGGUUUAGAACGUCGUGAGACAGUUCGGUCCCUAUCUGCCGUGGGCGCUGGAGAACUGAGGGGGGCUGCUCCUAGUACGAGAGGACCGGAGUGGACGCAUCACUGGUGUUCGGGUUGUCAUGCCAAUGGCACUGCCCGGUAGCUAAAUGCGGAAGAGAUAAGUGCUGAAAGCAUCUAAGCACGAAACUUGCCCCGAGAUGAGUUCUCCCUGAGACUUAGAGUCUCCUGAAGGAACGUUGAAGACGACGACGUUGAUAGGCCGGGUGUGUAAGCGCAGCGAUGCGUUGAGCUAACCGGUACUAAUGAACCGUGAGGCUUAACCUUACAACGCCGAAG